AACGAACGCUGGCGGCAGGCUUAACACAUGCAAGUCGAGCGGACCCUUCGGGGUUAGUGGCGGACGGGUGAGUAACACGUGGGAACGUGCCUUUAGGUUCGGAAUAGCUCCUGGAAACGGGUGGUAAUGCCGAAUGUGCCCUUCGGGGGAAAGAUUUAUCGCCUUUAGAGCGGCCCGCGUCUGAUUAGCUAGUUGGUGAGGUAAUGGCUCACCAAGGCGACGAUCAGUAGCUGGUCUGAGAGGAUGACCAGCCACAUUGGGACUGAGACACGGCCCAAACUCCUACGGGAGGCAGCAGUGGGGAAUCUUGCGCAAUGGGCGAAAGCCUGACGCAGCCAUGCCGCGUGAAUGAUGAAGGACUUAGGAUUGUAAAAUUCUUUCACCGGGGACGAUAAUGACGGUACCCGGAGAAGAAGCCCCGGCUAACUUCGUGCCAGCCGCCGCCGUAAAAC
rnacentral:rRNA from 1 species